AAAGUACUCUCUCCGUCUCAAAAUUCUUGUCUUAGAUUUGUCUAGAUACGGAUGUAUCAAGUCACAUUUUAGUAUUAGAUACAUCUGUAUCUAGACAAAUCUAAGACAAGAAAUUUGGGACAGAGGGAGUAGUUG
rnacentral:pre_miRNA from 1 species